UGUUCCUUGAUGUAGGGCAGGGCUGGUUGAUUCCACAGGGGCAACCCCGGAGAGUGAUGGCCAUGAGCCAAUGGAUCCUCCUGGUGAUGAUGCUGAUACUCUCUUUUGGUGCUGUCCGAUGCCAGGAACAAGUGGAUCAGAAGCCUGUAGAAGUCAGCAAAGAAGGAGUGGAUUGUACCAUCGCCUGUCAGUUCAGCUCCAGUACUGUCUAUGCUAUGUACUGGUACAGGCAAUAUGCAGGAGAAGCACCUGUUUUUCUCCUAAAGGUUACAUCAGUGGAAUCCAAGAAAGAUGACCACCUCAUUGCCGAUUUGGACAAGCAAAAGAAGCAGAGUCACUUCAACAUCACAAAGGUGCAGUUGAAAGAUGCCGCUGUCUACUUCUGCAGCACAGAUGGUCACAGCAACAGAGAGGCACUUGCUGACAGUACAAAAUCUCACCAAGGCUAA